UACGUAGGGUGCGAGCGUUGUCCGGAAUUAUUGGGCGUAAAGGGCUCGUAGGCGGUUUGUCGCGUCGGGAGUGAAAACCUCGGGCUUAACUCGGGGCUUGCUUUCGAUACGGGCAGACUAGAGGUAUGCAGGGGAGAACGGAAUUCCUGGAUGUAGCGGUGAAAUGCGCAGAUAUCAGGAGGAACACCGGUAGCGGAAGGCGGUCUCUGGGCACUGAUCUGACGCUGGAGGAAGCG
rnacentral:rRNA from 1 species